rnacentral:rRNA from 1 species
AUACGUAGGUGACAAGCGUUAUCCGGAUUUACUGGGCGUAAAGGGCGUGUAGGCGGUCUUGCAAGUCAGAAGUGAAAUUCCUGAGCUCAACUCGGGCGCUGCUUCUGAAACUGCAGGACUUGAGUGCUGGAGGGGAUAGCGGAAUUCCUAGUGGAGCGGUAAAAUGCGCAGAUAUUAGGAAGAACACCGGUGGCGAAGGCGACUUGCUGGACAGUAACUGACGCUGAGGCGCGAAAGCGUGGAGAGCAAACAGGAUUAGAUACCCUGGGAGUCCACGCCGUAAACGAUGAAUACUAGGUGUAGGGGGUAUCGACUCCCUCUGUGCCGCAGUUAACACAAUAAGUAUUCCGCCUGGGGAGUACGGCCGCAAGGUUGAAACUCAAAUGAAUUGACGGGG